rnacentral:rRNA from 1 species
GACGAACGCUGGCGGCGUGCUUAACACAUGCAAGUCGAACGGAAAGGCCCUGCUUUUGUGGGGUGCUCGAGUGGCGAACGGGUGAGUAACACGUGAGUAACCUGCCCUUGACUUUGGGAUAACUUCAGGAAACUGGGGCUAAUACCGGAUAGGAGCUCCUGCUGCAUGGUGGGGGUUGGAAAGUUUCGGCGGUUGGGGAUGGACUCGCGGCUUAUCAGCUUGUUGGUGGGGUAGUGGCUUACCAAGGCUUUGACGGGUAGCCGGCCUGAGAGGGUGACCGGCCACAUUGGGACUGAGAUACGGCCCAGACUCCUACGGGAGGCAGCAGUGGGGAAUAUUGCACAAUGGGCGGAAGCCUGAUGCAGCAACGCCGCGUGCGGGAUGACGGCCUUCGGGUUGUAAACCGCUUUCGCCUGUGACGAAGCGUGAGUGACGGUAAUGGGUAAAGAAGCACCGGCUAACUACGUGCCAGCAGCCGCGGUGAUACGUAGGGUGCGAGCGUUGUCCGGAUUUAUUGGGCGUAAAGGGCUCGUAGGUGGUUGAUCGCGUCGGAAGUGUAAUCUGGGGGCUUAACCCUGAGCGUGCUUUCGAUACGGGUUGACUUGAGGAAGGUAGGGGAGAAUGGAAUUCCUGGUGGAGCGGUGGAAUGCGCAGAUAUCAGGAGGAACACCAGUGGCGAAGGCGGUCUUCUGGGCCUUUCCUGACGCUGAGGAGCGAAAGCGUGGGGAGCGAACAGGCUUAGAUACCCUGGUAGUCCACGCUGUAAACGGUGGGUACUAGGUGUGGGGUCCAUUCCACGGGUUCCGUGCCGUAGCUAACGCUUUAAGUACCCCGCCUGGGGAGUACGGCCGCAAGGCUAAAACUCAAAGGAAUUGACGGGGCCCCGCACAAGCGGCGGAGCAUGCGGAUUAAUUCGAUGCAACGCGUAGAACCUUACCUGGGUUUGACAUGGAUCGGGAGUGCUCAGAGAUGGGUGUGCCUCUUUUGGGGUCGGUUCACAGGUGGUGCAUGCCUGUCGUCAGCUCGUGUCGUGAGAUGUUGGGUUAAGUCCCGCAACGAGCGCAACCCUUGUUCACUGUUGCCAGCACGUUAUGGUGGGGACUCAGUGGAGACCGCCGGGGUCAACUCGGAGGAAGGUGGGGAUGACGUCAAGUCCUCAUGCCCCUUAUGUCCAGGGCUUCACGCAUGCUACAAUGGCUGGUACAGAGAGUGGCGAGCCUGUGAGGGUGAGCGAAUCUCGGAAAGCCGGUUUCAGUUCGGAUUGGGGUCUGCAACUCGACCUCAUGAAGUCGGAGUCGCUAGUAAUCGCAGAUCAGCAACGCUGCGGUGAAUACGUUCCCGGGGCU